GUGCAGCAGUCGCGAAUUCUCCGCAAUGCGGGAAACCGCGACGGGGGACCCCGAGUGCCGUGGCAACGCCACGGCUUUUCCGGAGUGUAAAAAGCUCCGGGAAUAAGGGCUGGGCAAGGCCGGUGGCAGCCGCCGCGGUAAUACCGGCGGCCCGAGUGGUGGCCGCUAUUAUUGGGCCUAAAGCGUCCGUAGCCGGGCCCGUAAGUCCCUGGCGAAAUCCCACGGCUCAACCGUGGGGCUUGCUGGGGAUACUGCGGGUCUUGGGACCGGGAGAGGCGGGGGGUACCCCUGGGGUAGGGGUGAAAUCCUAUAAUCCCAGGGGGACCGCCAGUGGCGAAAGGCGCCCCGCUGGAACGGGUCCGACGGUGAGGGACGAAGGCCAGGGGAGCAAAACCGGAUUAGAUACCCGUGUAGU
rnacentral:rRNA from 1 species